GGAGCUGCAUGGUAAGGCAGGUGUGGGAUUCUGUGAUUUUGUGAUUCUGACCCAGCAGGACCUGUUAACCAGCUCUGGGCCACAGCUUCACCGCAGAAACUAUAAGCGGAGAAGAUCUCAAUUUCAAGCUAGGACUGUGUGUCAGUGUACUGUAACAUGAUGUCACCAUGGAGAUGUGGCCGUGCUGUUCUCUCUGGCCUAGCUGACCUGGCCCCUCCCGUGUCACCCAAACAUUGUGGGCGUCCAGAUGAUCACCACAGGACCUCUGGCCAUUGUGGCUGUCCCUGGAGAAAUGACCACCAUGUCAGGGGAGGCCGUCAAGCACGUGAGAAUCAAAUAUCACACACACACAUACAUACACACCCACUCAUUAAGGCAAAUAUUCUGUUUGCAUUUUUUGGUAUUACAUUUGAAUGUGUUAUACAGAUGACCUUUGUUUGUUGAUAAGGAACUUGGAGGCUCAGCGAACGUUCAGUAAUGCAGAGGUGGUCGUCGCUGGCCUGUGUAGCAUCUACUCAUUACAUUACCACCUAUGAGGAGUACCAGGUGCGAGAGAAGAAGUGAGAUUUUGAGUGGUAUCAGAUCGCUGCUCCAGAUCAGAUCGCAAAAUAGCUGACAAUCACUUAUUACAGUUAUUUCUCGAAGAUCCAGCAUUGCAAAGGAG
ensembl:lncRNA